GGCAGAGGAUGAAGAAGCUAAGAAUAUUCAGAGACAAUUGGCUGCCUAUCUUAGUGAGGAGGACUAUGACCUAAACCUUCUUCAGGUGUCUGAAGAGGCUGGGGCUGAACCAUCAUAAUCUGACUUGGAUGAAGAGGCUGCCCUGCACUUCUACAGAGGAAUGGAGAGGCUGAAACUGAAUAUGACCUACAGGCUGAGGAGAAGGAUGAAGAGGAGUUGGAUCCGGAUACCAAGAGACGCAAUACCUACCAGGUACAGUGUCUCACCCUCUGAGUAAUAUCCUUUAAACAUGUAGAAAUUAGUUACACACACAAGUAUACAGCAGUAAUUAUUUAUUGUACAGCUUAGCCUUCAUGUACAAUAUUUAUUUGUUACCAUGUCACUUGUUACCAUGUCUCAAUGAGUUUCCAUACUCAUUGUACAAAGCACAAUAUUAAGAAAACAUUUUCACCCAGUACUUCAAAUCAUGACCUUCGUAUCAGAUUAUUCUUGUAUUUUAUAUGUUAGAGUUUUCCCU